GUCUACAGCCAUAUCACCCUGAAUGCACCUGAUCUUGUUUAAUAUCAGAAGCUAAGCAGGUAUAUAAGCAGGGUUGGGCCUGGUUAGUACUUAAAUGGGAAACUUUCACAUAGAGUAUCUGAGGAGUCCUGUAACUU
rfam:Fukomys damarensis contig91169, whole genome shotgun sequence.